rnacentral:rRNA from 1 species
GAUGAACGCUGGCGGCGUGCCUAAUACAUGCAAGUCGAGCGAACAGAUGAGGAGCUUGCUCCUCUGACGUUAGCGGCGGACGGGUGAGUAACACGUGGAUAACCUACCUAUAAGACUGGGAUAACUUCGGGAAACCGGAGCUAAUACCGGAUAAUAUAUUGAACCGCAUGGUUCAAUAGUGAAAGACGGUUUUGCUGUCACUUAUAGAUGGAUCCGCGCCGCAUUAGCUAGUUGGUAAGGUAACGGCUUACCAAGGCAACGAUGCGUAGCCGACUGAGAGGGUGAUCGGCCACACUGGAACUGAGACACGGUCCAGACUCCUACGGGAGGCAGCAGUAGGGAAUCUUCCGCAAUGGGCGAAAGCCUGACGGAGCAACGCCGCGUGAGUGAUGAAGGUCUUCGGAUCGUAAAACUCUGUUAUUAGGGAAGAACAAAUGUGUAAGUAACUAUGCACGUCUUGACGGUACCUAAUCAGAAAGCCACGGCUAACUACGUG